rnacentral:rRNA from 1 species
UACGUAGGGUGCAAGCGUUGUCCGGAAUUAUUGGGCGUAAAGAGCUCGUAGGCGGUCUGUCGCGUCUGCCGUGAAAGUCCGGGGCUCAACUCCGGAUCUGCGGUGGGUACGGGCAGACUAGAGUGAUGUAGGGGAGACUGGAAUUCCUGGUGUAGCGGUGAAAUGCGCAGAUAUCUGGAGGAACACCGGUGGCGAAGGCGGCAUCCUGGACCGACACUGACGCUGAGGAGCGAAAGCCAGGGGAGCAAAGCGGG